rnacentral:rRNA from 1 species
CCGGUAUGGGCCAUGAGAGUGGUAGCCCAGAGAUGGACACUGAGACAAGGGUCCAGGCCCUACGGGGCGCAGCAGGCGCGAAACCUCCUCAAUACACUAACGUGUGAAGGGGUUACCUCGAGUGCCACCUGAAGAAGGUGGCUUUUCCGUGGUCUAAAAAGCCUAGGGAAUAAGAGGGGGGCAAGACUGGUGUCAGCCGCCGCGGUAACACCAGCCCCUCGAGUGGUGUGGAUGAUUAUUUGGCCUAAAGCGUCCGUAGCCGGCCGGGUAAGUUUCCCGUUAAAUCCAACGUCUCAAGCGUUGGACUGCGGGAAAUACUGCCUAGCUAGAGAGUGGGAGAGGUCAGCGGUAUUCUGGGGGUAGGGGCGAAAUCCUUUGAUCCCCGGAGGACCACCAGUGGCGAAGGCUGCUGACUAGAACACGUCUGACGGUCAGGGACGAAAGCUGGGGUAGCGAACCGGAUUAGAUACCCGGGUAGUCCCAGCCGUAAACGAUGCAUGCUAGGUGUUGGGUUGGCCACGAGCCACCCCAGUGCCGCAGGGAAGCCGUUAAGCAUGCCGCCUGGGAAGUACGAUCGCAAGAUUGAAACU